rnacentral:lncRNA from 1 species
CUCAUUUGAUCCUCACAAGAACCCUAUUCUUCUUCUUCAUUAACAGAAGAAAUGGGGGCUUGAGAAGGCCUAAGCAACUUGCUCAAGGUCGUGUGGUAUAAGAGGCAGAGGUGAACUUUGAUAUCAGGAUUGUAGGACUCAAGGUCUGUACUGGAUCCGCUGUUUGGAGACAGAAACAGGUGAGGUGGGGUUGGGGUCUAGGGUUGGAGCUGUACCAACUGGGAUGCCAUCCAUUGUCCCCAAAGCAGAGAUUAUUGUCCUAGGGCUGGGACUGUCAUAUUCUGGUGACAUUAACUCCUGGGGAGGAAGAAGGAAACUCCCUAGCAGAGGGGCAGGGUGGCAAGCCUGGGAGGCAAGGGCAGGAGAGGACCUGGGUAGUAGCUGGGGG